rnacentral:lncRNA from 1 species
GUGAUACUUGUAAAAAAUUUUAUAUACAUAUACUAUUUUUUUCAAAAAUAUUGAAAAAUCUAAAAUGGUACAUUAAAACAAAGUGGUCCUUGUAUGCACCAAUUCCAAUAGAAAAAUUAUGCGUCUAUUGGUGUAGUACUGACUACCUUGUUACUAACACCAACCAAUAUAGAAGGAUGUCGGGGAUUCGAAGGUAGAGCUAGAAAAAUAGAUUUGAGCCCAAAAGCUCACCCGCA